rnacentral:rRNA from 1 species
ACGAAGGGUGCAAGCGUUACUCGGAAUUACUGGGCGUAAAGCGUGCGUAGGCGGUUGGUUAAGUCUGCUGUGAAAGCCCUGGGCUCAACCUGGGAACUGCAGUGGAAACUGGCCAGCUAGAGUGUGUCAGAGGAUGGUGGAAUUCCCGGUGUAGCGGUGAAAUGCGUAGAGAUCGGGAGGAACACCAGUGGCGAAGGCGGCCAUCUGGGACAACACUGACGCUGAGGCACGAAAGCGUGGGGAGCAAACAGGAUUAGAUACCCUGGUAGUCCACGCCCUAAACGAUGCGAACUGGACGUUGGGCACACUUAGGUGCUCAGUGUCGAAGCUAACGCGUUAAGUUCGCCGCCUGGGGAGUACGGUCGCAAGACUG